CGCCCCCGCCUUUGUGUGCCGCGGCGGCGGCGCGGGGCCGGGCUUGCUCGAGCCCCCGGAGCGCGGGCACCGCCGCCCCCCGCCCCAGCCGUGCGCGCUCACCGUCGGAGCUGACGGUGUCGUAGGAGUCACCAGGGGCGGGCACCGCGGCCGGCUCCCGGUAGUCCACCCAGCUGAGCCCUUCUACGCUGUCGUACUCGGCGCGGGGCUUGUCCUCCACCGGCACCACAGUGAAGUGCGGCAUGGCUGGCGGGGCGAUCACACAGGAGUCUAUGGAAGGAUACAAAGCUUAGCGUGGAGGAAGAGUCUAGGACUAAACAUUUCCUGUGCUCAGAACCACCUUAUUCCCAGCUUUCUGAAUUUGUCCUGCCUUUUUGACAAAGCAACCCCCAGGUCACUGGGAGAAAGAGAAAUUUGUAAUGAGCAGAAGAGAAACCAACAUGAGGGAGAAUGCUUUGUUCAGGAGAACUAAGUCUACUUUUAAUUAGAGUUGGAGAAAGAAGUGCUUUAUGAAAACAUAUAGACCAGGUGCUGACAAUGGGCUUCAGAGGAAAAUACCAGAUAUAGAGAGGAAAGAAUCAUCCUAAUGGAGUUUACAAAACCAUUUGGGGAGAAGCAACAGAAACAGAGCAAAAUUAAGUGCCCUCUCACCUGAGUUAUAAUUGUUGAGGCCAGAGCCUUGAUUAGAACCUGCAACAUUUCUCUGAUGUAAGCUAAAUGCAGAUCUUUGUUUACUUUGCUUUUGCUUCCCCUCCACUAUUUGUUGACCCAUGAGAGAAGCAACUGACCAAGUAAAAGAGGGGUUGGUUGUUGCUUUUGCUCUGAAAAAAAAGCCAAACAAAAACUUCACAGGUUGUAGGAAUUUCUCAAAAAGUGCAAAAAAAAAGUGCAGACACUGUGGAAAGAAUUGACACCAUUGCAAUGAGUGCCAGGAAGCAGAACAGGCUACAAGCAGCUCAUCUGGUAAUACUGGACUAAGCGACUGAGAGGUUCUGUCUCAGUCACCGAAGAUCCUGGACAUUUGUGAAGUACAGAAAUGAAACGAAAAUGCUUCCCACUACCACAAAUUUUGGUUUUCCUCUAUUUCCUUCCCAUUUCCUAAUGAAGUUAUAAAUAAACAUGAAGGUUAGUAAAAAUCUCUGGUUUCAGAACAUAAAAAAAGUAAAAUUAUAGGAGAACCAAAACAACCAUUCCCAUCUCAAGUUCUUCUACAUAGGUGUAAAGUUUGUAGGUAAGGUAGCAAGACAAAAAUCAAGACCAGAUUAAAAAAAAAAACCAAAAAAAACAGAGAAACAAUUCUUGAAACACUGAAUCAAGCUUUCCAGAACAGUCCAAGAAGGGUUAUCCAGCAUCACAGUCUGUUCUGAAAAUAGUUCAGCAGAUCCACUCUGGGUCUGCAAAUUCAAUCCAACAAAUCUUGAGUAACUGAAAGUCACUGUUAGUGGGAAGACUCUUUGGGUUAUUUAAUUUUUUUUUUGUUGUAGUUUAGACUUGUUACAUUUUCAGAAUUUGAAACAAUUUGAUCAUUUCCAUAUAUAUAAAUCCAGAGAAGAACAGAGCUGCUGCUUUCAAUAGCAAAUGGAAGAAAUCCAAGUUGUUGCAGUCCCACUUUGCUUUUUCCCUCCUCCCCUCCCCUAACACUGAGCACAGUCAACCCAAUCACUGACACGGUCAGCAGGAAACUCAUCCCUUGACAGAGUAAAACAGUUUGCAGCUAGACCAGUUCCCUGAACCAGCACACUGUAUAGUUACACAAACACCAGUGCUGUCUCAGGGGACAGGGAGACAACAUGCAGCCAAGAAACAGAGCAGGAGUGCAGCAGAGCAGCCAGAGCUGGCAUAAACUGCUGUGGCACUGCAGAGGGGAGAAGGAUGUAAUGAUACCUGGCUUUUCAAAGUUGGUUCUGUGGAGCAGAUGCCUACUGAACCUCA